GACGAACGCUGGCGGCGUGCCUAACACAUGCAAGUCGAGCGCUGACGCCUGGUGCUUGUACUCACUGGGUGAGCAGCGAACGGGUGAGUAACGCGUGGGGCAUCUGCUUCUGUUUGGGGGACAACAUCUGAAAACGAAUGCUAAUACUGCAUAAUAACUUUAAACACUGGUUUCAAGGGUGAAACAGGCCUUUGCAUCAUUCAAAGAUGAUUCGGCGUUUUAUUAGUUAGUUGGUGAGGUAACGGCCAACCAAGGCGAGGAUACGUAGCCGCCCUGAGAGGAGGUCGGCCAAAAUGGGACUGGGAAACGGCCCAAGCUCCUUCGGGGAGGAGCAGGAGGGGAAUGUCGGAAAAGGGCGGAAAGCUGACCGAACCAAGCCGGGGGGGUGGAGGAAGGUUUCGGGUCGGAAAACUCUGUUUGUAGGGAAGAAAGUGCGGGAGAGUGGAAAGCUCAUCAAGUGACGGUAACUAAACAGAAAGCGACGGCUAACUACGUG
rnacentral:rRNA from 1 species